rnacentral:rRNA from 1 species
GUCCGCCUCACCGCGUGCUCUGGUCCGGCCGGGCCUUUCCUUCUGAGGAGCCGCAUGCCCUUCACUGGGUGUGUCGGGGAAUCAGGACUUUUACUUUGAAAAAAUUAGAGUGUUCAAAGCAGGCCUAUGCUCGAAUACAUUAGCAUGGAAUAAUAGAAUAGGACGUGUGGUUCUAUUUUGUUGGUUUCUAGGACCGCCGUAAUGAUUAAUAGGGAUAGUCGGGGGCAUCAGUAUUCAAUUGU